AGAGGGUGCGAGCGUUAAUCGGAAUUACUGGGCGUAAAGAGCACGUAGGUGGUUGUUUAAGUCAGAUGUGAAAGCCCUGGGCUCAACCUGGGAAUGCCAUUUGAUACUGGAUAACUCGAGUACGGUAGAGGGAAGUGGAAUUUCCGGUGUAGCGGUGAAAUGCGUAGAUAUCGGAAGGAACACCAGUGGCGAAGGCGACUUCCUGGACCGAUACUGACACUGAGGUGCGAAAGCGUGGGGAGCAAACAGGGAUUAGAUACCCUGGUAGUCCACGCCGUAAACGAUGAGAACUAGCUGUUGGGACCCUUAGGGUUUUAGUAGCGAAGCUAACGCGAUAAGUUCUCCGCCUGGGGGAGUACGGCCGCAAGGUUA
rnacentral:rRNA from 1 species